rnacentral:rRNA from 1 species
GAUGAACGCUAGCGAUAGGCUUAACACAUGCAAGUCGAGGGGCAGCAUGGUCUUAGCUUGCUAAGACUGAUGGCGACGGGCGCACGGGUGCGUAACGCGUAUGCAACUUGCCUCACAGAGGGGGAUAACCCGUCGAAAGACGGACUAAUACCGCGUACACUCUAUGUUGGGCAUCCAAUGUAGAGGAAAUGAAAUUCGCUGUGAGAUAGGCAUGCGUCCCAUUAGCUAGUUGGUGAGGUAACGGCUCACCAAGGCGACGAUGGGUAGGGGAACUGAGAGGUUGAACCCCCACACUGGUACUGAGACACGGACCAGACUCCUACGGGAGGCAGCAGUGAGGAAUAUUGGUCAAUGGGCGAGAGCCUGAACCAGCCAAGUCGCGUGAAGGAUGACUGUCUUAUGGAUUGUAAACUUCUUUUAUACGGGAAUAACAAGAGUCACGU